UCGACACCUAGAAUAUUCGUUAUAAAGACAAAGGGUCAAACAAAAAUGUUAUUUAGUAAAAAAUUUUCUUGUAUAAGUAUUUAUUUGUUUCCUACACUAUGAUUACAAUCUUAUGUAAUUGAUAAGUAUUUGACAGCAGUUUUGGUUAUUCCAUCGAAAUGUUUCAACGAAUAAAUGGUUGGUGAAAACGAUAAAGUUUGUGGCGAGGAAAUGAUAAAAUUUGUCGUAAGGAAAUGAUAAAAUUUGCGGUGAUUUUGCUGUCACGUUUCUGAUUCAAAUUAACGAAUAGUCAUUAUAUUAUUAUACGAAUUCUAGAUUGUUAGGAGGUAUAGUGUGUAGAUCAUAAUUAUACAUAUAUCGGAAUCGGGCGAUAGUAGGAGAUAUAUAAGUGUAUGAACAUCGAACUUUAAAAUGCAUCGAAUUCCUGGUGCAGAUACAAUUCCUCCGUAGUGAUACCUGUCCAUUUGCCUCCAUCAUCUAUCAUCGAUUAUUGAUCCACAAGUUAGUCGUUUCGGAGCUUUCACAAACGGCAGUUACAAAUUCACAAGAUCGUCAAUUCAUUAUUAUAAUAGAAAAACGAAGUGAACCCAUAGUAGAAAGAACCCUUAGAACAUUAUUGUAAAAUAGAAUAUAUCUAGAAAAGUGUGAAAAUAAAAAUCACGUAAAACUAUGAA